rnacentral:rRNA from 1 species
AUUGAACGCUGGCGGCAUGCCUUACACAUGCAAGUCGAACGGUAACAGGUUAAGCUGACGAGUGGCGAACGGGUGAGUAAUGUAUCGGAACGUGCCCAGUCGUGGGGGGAUAACGUAGCGAAAGCUACGCUAAUACCGCAUACGAUCUAUGGAUGAAAGCGGGGGAUCGCAAGACCUCGCGCGAUUGGAGUGGCCGAUAUCAGAUUAGGUAGUUGGUGGGGUAAAGGCCUACCAAGCCGACGAUCUGUAGCUGGUCUGAGAGGACGACCAGCCACACUGGGACUGAGACACGGCCCAGACUCCUACGGGAGGCAGCAGUGGGGAAUUUUGGUCAAUGGAUGCAAGUCUGAACCAGCCAUGCCGCGUGCAGGAAGAAGGCCUUCUGGGUUGUAAACUGCUUUUGCCAGGGGAUAAAAUUUCCAUGCGUGGAAAACUGAAGGUACCUGGUGAAUAAGCCACGGCUAACUACGUGCCAGCAGCCGCGGUAA